AGAGUUUGAUCCUGGCUCAGAACGAACGCUGGCGGCGUGGAUUAGGCAUGCAGGUCGAACGGGAACCUUAGGAUUCAAUUCUUCGGAAAAGAAUCCUUUGGCGAGAGUGGCGAAAGGGUGAGUAUCGCGUGGGCAAUCUGCCCUUCAAGUUGGGGAUAGCUUCUCGAAAGGGAAGGUAAUACCGAAUAUGGUGACCUGUCGCAUGGCAGGGACUCUAAAGGUAGGGAUCUUCGGACCUACCGCUUGAGGAUGAGCCCGCGUCCCAUCAGCUUGUUGGUAAGGUAACGGCUUACCAAGGCAAUAACGGGUAGCUGGUCUGAGAGGAUGGUCAGCCACACUGGGACUGAGACACUGCCCAGACUCCUACGGGAGGCUGCAGUCGAGAAUCAUUCGCAAUGCGCGAAAGCGUGACGAUGCGACGCCGCGUGUAGGAUGACGGCCUUCGGGUUGUAAACUACUGUCAUGAGGGAACAAUGAGCAGGAUGUUAAUAGCAUCUUGAAGUGAUAGUACCUCAAGAGGAAGCCACGGCUAACUCUGUGCCAGCAGCCGCGGUAAUACAGAGGUGGCAAGCGUUGUUCGGAUUUACUGGGCGUAAAGGGUGCGUAGGCGGUUUCGUGUGUCAGAUGUGAAAUCUCACUCUUCAUGGGUGAAAAUGCAUUUGAAACUGCGGAGCUAGAGUACGGGAGAGGUGAGCGGAAUUCUUGGUGUAGCGGUGAAAUGCGUAGAUAUCAAGAGGAGCGCCGGAGGCGAAGGCGGCUCACUGGAACGAUACUGACGCUGAGGCACGAAAGCUGGGGGAGCAAACAGGAUUAGAUACCCUGGUAGUCCCAGCCGUAAACGGUGUGCACUUGGUGUGGGCGGUUUUAUCCCCGUCCGUGCCGGAGCUAACACGUUAAGUGCACCGCCUGGGGAGUACGGUCGCAAGACUAAAACUCAAAGGAAUUGACGGGGGCCCGCACAAGCGGUGGAGCAUGUGGUUUAAUUCGAUGCAACGCGAAGAACCUUACCAGCCCUUGACAUCCUGGGAACUUUGUAGAGAUACAUUGGUGCCUUCGGGAAUCCAGUGACAGGUGCUGCAUGGCUGUCGUCAGCUCGUGUCGUGAGAUGUUGGGUUAAGUCCCGCAACGAGCGCAACCCUUGUCCCUAGUUGCCAGCACGUUAUGGUGGGAACUCUAGGGAGACUGCCGGUGAUAAACCGGAGGAAGGUGGGGACGACGUCAAGUCAUCAUGGCCCUUAUGGGCUGGGCUACACACGUGCUACAAUGGUCGGUACAGAGGGUCGCGAACCCGCGAGGGGAAGCCAAUCCCAGAAAGCCGAUCUUAGUCCGGAUCGCAGUCUGCAACUCGACUGCGUGAAGUCGGAAUCGCUAGUAAUCGCGAAUCAGCAACGUCGCGGUGAAUACGUUCCCGGGCCUUGUACACACCGCCCGUCACACCAUGGGAGUGGGUUGCACCAGAAGUAGUUAGCUUAACCUUAGGGAGAGCGAUUACCACGGUGUGAUUCAUGACUGGGGUGAAGUCGUAACAAGGUAACC
rnacentral:rRNA from 1 species